UCGAUAGGUUUUCUGUGGUCGGAGAGAAGGGGCAUUUGAUGUGGAAGCAUGUUAGUAGUGUCUGCUAUGUGUGAUAGCGAGUCGAAGCAAAAGACUUUAAGGAGCACCUGCACUGCUGAGGACAAGUUUGGGGCUCUGUCUGCUGCAGGCGUAGAAUGAAUCAGUAUGACCUCCAGUCCUAUGGGAGACCACAAUGGAGAAGACAGCUAUGGAAACUUAGACCUGAAUUUAAUUCUGGCAACCAAAGCUUUGAGAAUAUAGGUUGUGUAUUACCUAAUCUUGGUUGUUUUGAGAUCUCAGAUAAAUAGAGUCAGAAGAUACCAGGCACCUUUGGGAUAGACAGAGCAGCCAUGUGCCAAAGCUGAGAAGACCUUCCCAGAUUUGUAUCUCCUCACACCUUCGUCUCACAGAAAGUGGAUUUCAGAACAUGGUGUCGAGGAACAUCCCAGGUCCGUGAGGAGAGGGCUGUAGCUGGCAAGGCUGCCCCAUGUUACACAGGUGGACCAAACAUGGUUGAGUGCUUUGAGUUCCUCAAAGGUGACCUUGAGGUUUGUCCAAGAUGCCUGUGGUAGACCCAAUGUCUUGCUUAAGUGCUGCUUGCAAGCUCUCAGUACAAAGUUGUGGGAUGAGCCUCCAGCAGACCUCUUCAGUAGUUAUAGUGGAGAUCAGUAGGAUCUCAGAGGUAAGGAAUAAUUGAUGAGUGUAAAUGUAAAGUGGACUGAUGGCACUGUGGGAAUUGGUACAACUAUGGAGCUUAUUGUACAGAGGUCAGUUUCCAUUAAUUAAGGGAGAAGAGUGGUAGAAAUGCCCAUGGACAUUGCUUAAGGAGACCAGCACUUAAAAGAAGGAAAUAUGAUGUUUCUGCUGGAGUACUGAUUAACACAGUAUGGUGGUAGAGUACUAAACAUCAUUUAACAGCCUUAAUUUGCAGUUAAUGAAGCUUUUUUUUUUUUUUUUAACUUUUUGUGGGGUGGUGAGUGCUUUUAAAUGGAAAAUCUUGCGCAGAUAUAAUAAAAUACAUUCUGUAAAUCAUUGCUGUGUAUAAGAUUAAAAUGUAACUGACAGUGUUGUGAUUCUUAAAUAUCCUACCUUGUUCAGGCACACUCUUGCUGGACCGUCAAUUUAAAAGAAGUUGCUGACACCACUUCUAUUCUGUGUUCUGACCAAAAAAAAAAAAAGUCUUAUAUGAUUGUUACACUGAACUGUAACUGAAGCUGUCUUGGCUAUGCCUUGGCAGCAGUCCUGAGUGCUGCCUGUUCAUUCCCAAGGGCAGGAGAAUUUUUUCAUGCAGGCACAAAGCAUUUUAAGAACAGCUGUAAUUCAGGAGAUGGAUGUCUGGUCUGUACAAACAUCAUUUGCUUCUCUGAAAUGUUAAUGGAUGGCUUAAGUUUUUUCUUUUAAAAUACCCAUGGAACCUGGUGGUUUGACAACUGAAGGCAGCUGUGGUUUAACUUUAGUCUGGGGGAUGCAGCUGAGCAAAUGAAGACUAGCAAAGACACUAAUUGUCCAUCUUUAGAUGGUGUACUUGCAGCUGUCAGGUGACUGAGUACAGCUGCUGUUGGAGAGCAGGGUGGGAGGAAGAGAGCAGAUGGGUACCUUCACUACCCGGCUCAUUCUUCCUUGUAUAUAAGUGUCUGGUCAUAGAGCUGAGGAAAGUUGCUCCUCCCUGCUUUCCUCCUCACCUAUUUCCCUUUAAAACUCUCUCUUUCCACCUGAUACCCCAUAAAAACACAUG